rnacentral:lncRNA from 1 species
AUCAAAAGGGACAGGUAGUCCAUCUGCCUUUGAAGUGUAUGUAAGCUUGCCAGGUUAUGAAUGCCUGUGGGGCCAGGUAAUGUGGGAGGGGUCUUGGGCCUUAAAGACAAAUUAAGGUAGCUUUCUCUUCUCCUUCUUCCCUGCAGUACGACAAUCUCCUGAGCCAGUUUGGCUGCAUGCAGGUGUCAUCCUCCUCCUCUUCCCACUCCCUGUCUGCGGUGGAUGCCAGCCUGCCCCAGAGGUCGGGCAGCAACAUAGAGCAGUACAUUCAUGAUUUGGACACUAACUCUUUUGAACUAGACUUACAGUUUUCAGAAGAUGAAAAAAGGUUGUUAUUGGAAAAGCAAGCCGGUGGAAACCCUUGGCACCAGUUUGUAGAAAAUAAUCUAAUAUUAAAAAUGGGCCCAGUGGAUAAGCGAAAGGGUUUAUUUGCAAGACGACGGCAGUUAUUACUCACAGAAGGGCCACAUUUAUAUUAUGUCGAUCCUGUCAACAAGGUCUUAAAAGGUGAAAUUCCAUGGUCACAAGAACUCCGACCAGAGGCCAAGAAUUUUAAAACUUUCUUCGUCCACACGCCUAACAGGACGUAUUACCUGAUGGAUCCAAGCGGGAAUGCUCACAAGUGGUGCAGAAAGAUCCAGGAGGUUUGGAGGCAACAGUACCAGAGCAGUCCAGAUGCUGCUGUGCAGUGACGUGGCCUGCGGCCGGGCUGCCUAUCGCUGCCAGGACACCUGCCUCAGCGCGGCUCGGCCGCCACCCAGGACGCUUCCAGACCACCUGCCAGCCAUCUCAAGGAGAACAUAGAUGGCAAAAACCUUGCAGCUUUUUUAUUUAAAAGAAAAGAAGAAAAAAAAGAACCCAACCACACAAAGAACAAAACAAAUAGCCAACAAACAGGAAUUCAGGGUCGCUUUGCUUGCUCUCUGUGCUCUGUGGUGGCUUCCAUGCACUGCUGUAACCAUGGAGACCCAGCUUCUUGCACGGUAGCCCAGCUUCUGCCCAGACCAGUGGCCAGAUUUGGCAUCACCAGCCCCUCCUAGCAUCCACAGGAACCGCAUGCCUGCCUCUACCUUCCCCACCUGACACCCAGCUCCUGCUGUGACUGAGGGACUGG